rnacentral:lncRNA from 1 species
AUACUUUAUUAAAAUUCAGCAAUCGACGAAACCAUCGCAAAGCAAAAGCCAAGCCAUAGCGAUCAAUUGCUAAUUGUUUAAAAUUUUGGUAUCACGUAACCAUUCGUUUGCUUAUCGCUCGCUGUCCGCUCUGAGCGAAUAUAAUGCAGUUUUGCUAGAGCACUAGCGCCAAAAACCAUCAGAAGGCAAUCAAUGGAACUAUUUAACGUCAAACUUAAAACAUCUGAUUGUAUUGUUACAAAUAAAUGGUAAACAUUGCUUUUUUUGGUAUUUCAUCCCUGUGUUAAUGAAAAUCAUAUUGGACACAGUCCACUCUUAAUUUCAACAAAAAUAAUGAAGUGCGCCAUGAACAGUUAGUGAAACAUUGAAACAUGUGUUAAACAUUGUGUAAGGAUUGUUGAAAGUUAACAAGUAAAAUAACUAAGCUUCCAAUAGUACUUCGUUAAAGAGACGAUGGAACCAAAUCUACUUUGGAUUUUAUACGGCAUUGAUGUAUUUUAGAAACAAGGAUAUCAAGAUGAACAGAGUGUCAAAAGAACAGCUUGAGGUUUUGUUGGAGUUUUUAUAGUUCUUACAAGAACAUCAUUCUUUAGCCAAAGACAUAGACUCGGCACCACAUUCAAAGAAACUUUCGAUAGUCAGUGGAAACAUCUACCGAUAAAGCUGAACUCUAUUGGUUUAGGUUCAUCCAAAACUGGAGAGCAUUUGAAACGUACUGGGCUGAUAUUUAAUAAGAGCAAAACCAGACUUGCUAAACAUAGAUGGAGUCU